GUGGGUAGUUUGACUGGGGCGGUCUCCUCCUAAAGAGUAACGGAGGAGCACGAAGGUUGGCUAAUCCUGGUCGGACAUCAGGAGGUUAGUGCAAUGGCAUAAGCCAGCUUGACUGCGAGCGUGACGGCGCGAGCAGGUGCGAAAGCAGGUCAUAGUGAUCCGGUGGUUCUGAAUGGAAGGGCCAUCGCUCAACGGAUAAAAGGUACUCCGGGGAUAACAGGCUGAUACCGCCCAAGAGUUCAUAUCGACGGCGGUGUUUGGCACCUCGAUGUCGGCUCAUCACAUCCUGGGGCUGAAGUAGGUCCCAAGGGUAUGGCUGUUCGCCAUUUAAAGUGGUACGCGAGCUGGGUUUAGAACGUCGUGAGACAGUUCGGUCCCUAUCUGCCGUGGGCGCUGGAGAACUGAGGGGGGCUGCUCCUAGUACGAGAGGACCGGAGUGGACGC
rnacentral:rRNA from 2 species